CUAACAAGGAUUCCCCUAGUAACGGCGAGUGAAGCGGGAAGAGCUCAAGCUUAAAAUCUCCGUGCAAGUUUUGUGCGGCGAAUUGUAGUCUAUAGAGGCGUGGUCAGUGUGGGCGCUUGGGGCAAGUUCCUUGGAAGAGGACAGCAUGGAGGGUGAUACUCCCGUUCAUCCCUGAGUGGCUCGUGCGUACGACCCGUUUUCUUUGAGUCGCGUUGUUUGGGAAUGCAGCGCAAAGUAGGUGGUAAAUUCCAUCUAAAGCUAAAUAUUGGUGCGAGACCGAUAGCGAACAAGUACCGUGAGGGAAAGAUGAAAAGAACUUUGAAAAGAGAGUUAAAGAGUACCUGAAACUGCUGAAAGGGAACCGGAUCGUUCCCAGUGUCUAUAAUCCGUGGCAUAUUUCAUUGGCGAGCGUUUGCGUGCGUGUGCCGUGGCAGUGGCUUUUUUGGCUGCGCCUGGCGUGUGUGGUGUGAGUGUUUGCCGGUGCCCUGUGCUGUGGUGGGACGUCAAGGUCAGUUCGUAUGCUGCGGGAAAUGGCUGCCGAGGAGGUAGGGCUUACGCUUGCGUUUGUCUGUUAUAUCUUGGUGGACGGGUCGUCGUGGUUGGGACUGAGGUGCCUACAACGUGCUUUUGAGUGGGUCUGUGUCUCCGUGUGCGCCGUGUGCGGAUAGCUUGCUAUGCGUGUGUGGUUGUGUGUGGAUUGAUGCGGGCUUUAACUUGUCGCCGUUCGGGACGUUGACGAAAUGGAGCGAUCCGACCCGUCUUGAAACACGGACCAAGGAGUCUAACAUGUGUGCAAGUGUUAGGGUGUGGAAACCCCAGCGCGAAAUGAAAGUGAAGGGCAGCGCAAGUUGUCUGAGGUAGGAAAUGCUGCGGGCUUCGGUCUGCGGUGUGGCACUAUCGACCGAUCAUGAACCUUCGUGGUGAAAGAUUUGAGUUUGAGCACAUAUGUUGGUACCCGAAAGAUGGUGAACUAUGCCUGAGUAGGGUGAAGCCAGGGGAAACUCUGGUGGAAGCUCGUAGCGAUUCUGACGUGCAAAUCGAUCGUCAAACUUGGGUAUAGGGGCGAAAGACUAAUCGAACCAUCUAGUAGCUGGUUCCCUCCGAAAUUUCCCUCAGGAUAGCAGCAACUUAUUUACGAUAGUUUUAUGAGGUAAAGCGAAUGAUUAGAGGAUUCGGGGAAGAAACUUCCUCGACCUAUUCUCAAACUUUAAAUCUGUAAGACCUGCAGGUUUCUUAAUUGAACUUGUGGAUGUGAAUAUCAA
rnacentral:rRNA from 1 species